UCACCAGGCUGACCGCUUUCUUUGAGGAGUUCUCCUUUCUAGAACUCAGUUGCUAUUUUUUUCUUCGUUUGUAGAACUCGGAUCGCAAGGCAACGAAGAGGGCAUGGUGCUCGAGCUCCGGUGAGCAAUAGCUAUACUUGCUUCGGAAGCUCAAAUUAAAUAUCUCAACACUCCUCAUGAUCUUUGAGUCGCCGACUAGUCUCCAAGUCUGGGCAGGGGGAGAGUCGCUCGAGACUUGCUCUGACUAGUCGGCGACAGGCAGUGGCGAGUCUCCCGACUUCUCGUGAGAGCCCACAUGUCAGAAAAAAUUUCGGGCUGUGUAUAGGUCGGGGCGCGGGAGGGAAAUGCCAGGAUUCGGGAAAGGGAGGGAAAGGCCAGCGAGCAACGGCCCAACUGCUCCUGCUCCGCCACCACUCGCCGGCGCCCCAACUGCUCCUGCUUCGCCACCACUCGCCGGCGCCCCAGGCCACAUAACUAUAAUCUCAAAGGAAUUAGCUGAAAUGUUGAAUAAGCGUGAGCAAGACCUUGAGGCGAUUAGGGCUGACCAUCUUGCUAAUGUGCCAGAACACAAUGAAAGGGUAAGCUAUGAUUGACACAAUUUUCUUGCAACUACUGUAGGACGUGUGCAUCCUUUUUUCAGAAAUGUUCACAUUUUGUUUUAUAUGCUGCCGGCGAGGAUGAAGGUCAUCAGUCUUGCCAACUGAAUUGUUGGGUCUUAAAUUCUCUUCGGCCUGGUCGAAAGAUGGAAGAUAGGGCACUUGCAACCUAUACAUUGUAAAUAUUGCUCUUCGUAGUCGCUGAUUUGCGUGCAAAGUAAGCUACAUUUUAUCCAAAUAUGUGAUCAUAAUGGUGUGCUUGCAAACAUCUGCAAGGAAAGUGGUUACUGCCUGAUCUUGAAAAGAGUGCAAUACAUAGCAAGUAUCGGAUUGUUGACCCAUUAUUUUGUAAAUCAUUGAUAGAUGUAGAUGUUGGGAGAAGAUAAAUUCCUAAAUUUUGUUGUCUUCAACUUUAUGCUAUACAUCUCAUUAACCAGCAAAAAAAUGCUAUACAUCUAAUUGUUUUCUUACUCAAUAGCUUAAUAGGAGAAAUUUCAUGGAACAAAUUGGUGAUUUGUCAUAUAUGUUUGUUCCCGUGAAUCCAGAGUGAGUAUUUUUUGUGUCUUUGGUUAAAAUCUCAUGCUACAUCAAAGUUAGCUUUCUCAGACUACAUCCCGGUGACAUUUUGUGGUGUAGUGGUGUCACACAUUGGAGCUUGACGGCCAUAUGCAUGCCUAACGAGGAAAAUGAGCAAGAUUGCAGAUCUAGAAAUGCCACAAUUCUGCACCUAGAUUCAUAUGUUGGACCGCAUGAUAGUAAGGAAGUUUUCAUGGCUACUGAAAAUUUUAUGAAGCGAGUGUUGCGAAUCAACGGUGAUAAUUCUUGAGUACUUGUGAAGAAGGUGUACAUCAGUGCAAGUUUUUGAAAGUUGUGGAUGUCGUUCUGGCCUAACUACUUCCGUAUUACUGAACUUGUAAAAUGGUACGUCCAGUAUUUACAAUGGUUUCAACUUGUACCCAGUCUUAUGUAUAAAUGUAUUAUUGUACCCAGUCUAUUUCGUACUUGUACUAUAGUUCUGAAUGUCUAACUAUACCUUCACUCCUAAUUUAGAAACGAAUAGUUCUACUGUAAAUUUACCCACUUUAUUACAACUAGACUGUGAACUUCUACUAUGCUACAGUCAUGAUAAUAUACGACAUAUAGAUGUACUUGUACUUGUAGUUUCUAACCUUGUACUUGUACAUGUAGUUUCUAACCUCUAUCUGCUACUUCCAUCCUUUAGGUAACUUCAUGAUGGACAAAUUCAGUACAGUUUUCAAACCUUAACACUAAUGUCACUACUCUGAGUAUUUUCUUCCCAAUUUUACUAAAAUGGUACAUCCAGUUUAUACUUGUACUAUAAUAUAAAUGUUGUUUCAUUUAUACUAUGUAUUACUAAUAUUUCUUUCUUCUCCCCAGUGUACACCGUACCCUUGCUUUCUUUUGUCCAAUACACACGCCAACGAGCCCGUACAUGUACUUACAUUUUCAAGUGUACUAACUAUACCUUUAGUUAUAAUAUAUACUUGUAGUUUCAAACGUAGUAUAUGUAUACUUGUACAUUAUAGAUGUACUUGUACUACAUGUAAUUGUACUUGUGGUUUCAAACCUCCAUCUAGUACUUCCAUCCUUUACGUAACUUCAUGAUGUAAAAUUUCAGUACAGAGUUCAAACCUCAGCACUAAUGGCAGUACUAUAAGUACUUUUUUUCCAAUUAUACUAAUAUGGUACAUCCUGUUUAUACUUAUACAAUGUAUUACUAAUAUUUCUUUCUUCUUUCGAGUCUAAUAUACACAGUACCCUUGCUUUAAUUCAACCCAGGUACCUCUAUUAAUUGUCUUUUCUUUAUGGUUUGGCCAGUACUUUUGCUUCAGCUAUAAUGUACCUUUCUACUUUUAUAGACCUACUUACAUUAAUGUUCUUUUCUUCAUGGUUUUCCCAGUACCUUAAAUUCAAUCCUGGUACUGCAAUGCACACAUUCAGAGCCACAUACAUGUAUUUCUAAUUUCAGUAAUGCUAUUUUCUUUAUAAUUAAGAAAGUACCUACAAUGUGCUCAAGCCAGUACUUUUGCUUCAACUAUAAUGUGCAUUUCUAAAUUGACCCACCUAGUUAAAUUAACGUUCUUUUCCUUAUUUCACAUGCUACAUGCAGAACUGUGAUUUAACAAGUUAGUUCCAGUACUAAUAUUUUUUGGUUCUACAAACUUACAUUGCUUCUUUCUCUGCAAUGCACGCAUUGAUAACCACAUACAUGUACUUGUAUAUCAGAGUUCAAGACGUUGUGUUCCAUCACUUCAGGAGUAAUUUUAAAAUAAACAACAUUAAUGUAUAUGUACUUAUAAUUUCCUGACCAACAUGAAGGUAUAUGUACACUUGCAUAUGUUUGACUGCUUUAUAUAUAAUUCACACAGCUACAAUCAUAUAGUGAGGAUGCAACGGAACAUGAUAGCACCGAAGACACUCAAUCUACUUCAAACUCCUAGAUCCGCAACAUCCUCAGGAUCAUCGGUGAACCAGAGUAGAAAUGUGGGAACAAUGGUCUCAACAACUAUGAUAUUUUGUAAUUGGUUCAGCCAUGUACUGUGCUUGAGUUUCCUUA